GACGAACCGUGCGAACGUUGUUCGGAAUCACUGGGCUUAAAGGGAGCGUAGGCGGGCUAUCAAGUCUGGGGUGAAAUCCCACGGCUCAACCGUGGAACUGCCUUAGAUACUGACGGCCUCGAGGGAGAUAGGGGCAUGCGGAACUAACGGUGGAGCGGUGAAAUGCGUUGAUAUCGUUAGGAACUCCGGUGGCGAAAGCGGCGUGCUGGAUCUCUUCUGACGCUGAGGCUCGAAAGCUAGGGGAGCAAACGGG
rnacentral:rRNA from 1 species